rfam:Caenorhabditis brenneri strain PB2801 C_brenneri-6.0.1_Cont253.5, whole genome shotgun sequence.
AGAGAAAUGGCCGAGCGGUUCAAGGCAAUGGUUUAAGAUUCCAGUCCCCUCGGGGGCGUGGGUUCAAAUUCCGCUCUUUUCA